rnacentral:rRNA from 1 species
CAAUUGAAGGGUUUGAUCCUGGCUCAGAAUGAACGUUGGCGGCGUGGAUUAGGCAUGCAAGUCGAGCGACAAGGUCAGUUGGAUCCCUUCGGGGUGAAGCCUGACUGGAGGAGCGGCAAACGGGGUAGUAAUGCGUCGGAACGCACCCACGGGACCGGGAUAGCUGAGGGAAACUUCAGGUAAUACCGGAUAAUCUCUACGGAGCAAAUGGCCAACCGCCUGUGGACCGGCCGACGUGAUACCAGCUUGUUGGUGAGGUAAUGGCUCACCAAGGCUAAGACGUCUAGGGGGUGUGAGAGCAUGGCCCCCACCACUGGGACUGAGACACUGCCCAGACACCUACGGG